rnacentral:rRNA from 1 species
CCCUAUCUGCCGUGGGCGCUGGAGAACUGAGGGGGGCUGCUCCUAGUACGAGAGGACCGGAGUGGACGCAUCACUGGUGUUCGGGUUGUCAUGCCAAUGGCACUGCCCGGUAGCUAAAUGCGGAAGAGAUAAGUGCUGAAAGCAUCUAAGCACGAAACUUGCCCCGAGAUGAGUUCUCCCUGACUCCUUGAGAGUCCUGAAGGAACGUUGAAGACGACGACGUUGAUAGGCCGGGUGUGUAAGCGCAGCGAUGCGUUGAGCUAACCGGUACUAAUGAACCGUGAGGCUUAACCUU